CUGAAGGUUGAGUGAGCAUAUGAGAUAUAUUAUCCGUCUUUAAACGUAUACAUUAUCUCGAAGAAGCUCUAUAUAGGAACUUCGUACAGAUUGGCGUGCUUACCGUAACUGAAACUAUCAACUGGGAUAGAUUGUGGGCAUUGUUGAUUUUUCAAGCCGAUUUAGCAGAUAUAAGGUUUGUUACUUCUUAAAUACAUGCAUAUAUACUGAUCACAGAAUUGACCGAAAUAAUAUUAUUUGUGUUACAUGAAAUUGUUAAUGCAUUGAUUGCAUGCCAUCUGUUCCAAAACCAUGUUCAGUAUAUUUUACAGCACAACUGCGUCAGCUACUUGCUAAUUUGCACAAUAUAACACAGAUCAAUGAGAAUUCAAUUCCUUUACUUAUACUGCAG